UUGAACGCUGGCGGCAGGCCUAACACCUGCCAGUCGAACGGUAACAGGAAGAAGCUUGCUUCUUUGCUGACGAGUGGCGGACGGGUGAGUAAUGUCUGGGAAACUGCCUGAUGGAGGGGGAUAACUACUGGAAACGGUAGCUAAUACCGCAUAACGUCGCAAGACCAAAAAGGGGGACCUUCGGGCCUCUUGCCAUCGGAUGUGCCCAGAUGGGAUUAGCUAGUAGGUGGGGUAACGGCUCACCUAGGCGACGAUCCCUAGCUGGUCUGAGAGGAUGACCAGCCACACUGGAACUGAGACACGGUCCAGACUCCUACGGGAGGCAGCAGUGGGGAAUAUUGCACAAUGGGCGCAAGCCUGAUGCAGCCAUGCCGCGUGUAUGAAGAAGGCCUUCGGGUUGUAAAGUACUUUCAGCGGGGAGGAAGGGAGUAAAGUUAAUACCUUUGCUCAUUGACGUUACCCGCAGAAGAAGCACCGGCUAACUCCGUG
rnacentral:rRNA from 1 species